rnacentral:rRNA from 1 species
GAGAGAUACGGAGGUAGAGCACUGAAUGUCCUAGGGGGGAUUGCACCUACCGAAGACUAUCAAACUCCGAAUGCCGUCAUCUUAUACUUGGGAGUCAGACUGUGGGUGAUAAGAUUCAUAGUCGAAAGGGCAACAGCCCAGAUCGUCAGCUAAGGUCCCUAAAUGUAAGUUAAGUGGUAAAGGAUGUGGGAUUGCACAGACAACCAGGAUGUUGGCUUAGAAGCAGCCACUCAUUCAAA